rnacentral:lncRNA from 1 species
UUUUGAGUAACAUUGAUUCUCCAUUUUGAAAAGGUGGAAAAGAUGUAUACUGUUGGCAUACGAGAUAGAUGUCAUUAUCCGAUUUUACACAAUUUGGUACGCAACAGCACAGUUGCGGCAUUUUCCGGUUCUUUAAAAUUUUAAGUGGAAAAAAGUUGACACUUACUAGAGAAUGUUUACGAGAUAAUUUAGAAGAGUCUACGAUAAUACUGGAAUCGGAGGGAGUGAAGUAUGACAGUCCUGUCUGUACAUCCGUUUCUACUUUCCAAUUUGGUUUUAAUUGUUCGGGAUUCUGAUAAGACUUAUAUUGACUGCCAUGUUCUUGAC